UACAGGGGGUGCAAACGUUGCUCGGAAUCAUUGGGCGUAAAGCGCACGUAGGCGGUUCGUUAUGUCGGAUGUGAAAGCCCUUGGCUUAACCGAGGAAGUGCAUCCGAAACUGGCGAGCUAGAGUACUAAAGAGGAUCGCGGAAUUCCCGGUGUAGAGGUGAAAUUCGUAGAUAUCGGGAGGAACACCGGUGGCGAAAGCGGCGCGCUGGACCUCUUCUGACGCUGAGGCGCGAAAGCCAGGGGAGCAAACGGG
rnacentral:rRNA from 1 species